ACUCAAUUGUGCGAUUUCACAUUUCUUUUUUUCUUUUCUCUCCUUCGACUUUAGUUUCCAACUUCUCCAUUUCGUUCAUGUUGUUCUCCGUAGAAAUUAAUGGAAAACCAAAACUUAAAUUCUAAAAGAGGCGAUAGUAAGAAAAAUUGUGAUUUGUGAUCAAAGAACUCUCUUUAUUCUCUGCAGCUUGAAAAAACCCUAUACAAAUGUUCUCCUGCAACUUGAAAAAACCCUAAGUUUUAAAUUUUGGGUUUCUCGAAGAACAAGAUGAAGUGAGACGCAUGAAUAUCGAUUCAAAACUGAAGACUGCUUCUGAUUUUUAAAAAGGAGAACAUUCAAAGUACCACAAUUAUCAGAUUUGGGUAUUGAGGGGACUUUAUCGACAUGAUGACCGAGUUUUCAUAAGUAAAUCCGGGCUUGAUGACUUCACAGGUUUGCAUUCUACAUUGACACCAGCUUUGGCAGUCGUGAGAGUUUCAGCAAACGAACAAUCUACUGCCAUAAAUCCUCAGGGUAACACAGUAGUUAGGGGCAAUGCAAUAUACAUUCCCCGCCGAGUCCCAGAAUUAUUGAGCAGCUUCAGCAGGGUGAAUCAGUUGAUAUUGAGAAAGAAAGAGGCAAGAAACGCUGCCAUGACUCAGCGUGUUCAGAUAAUGAGAGUACCGAAACAAAAAGGCAAGAAAAGUGCCGCACUUAUGGAACGAACGGAACGGCAGGCGCAUCGCGCGUGCGUGUUAUACUAGUAGAGAAAAAUACGUACCAGGGGAUGUAGCCAAACACAAAUAAAGUAAUGAACAUCUUGCAUCAGAUGCGCGUGCGUGUUAUACUAGUAGAGAAAAAUACGUACCAGGGGAUGUAGCCAAACACAAAUAAAGUAAUGAACAUCUUGCAUCAAAUUACAGUCUCUUGUAGGAGGAAGACA